AACAAUACGCAGUGUGUGUAUCUUUUCAAUAUAUUUCCAUCGAUAAGAUGAAAGCUGUUAUGUUUAUGUUUGGUUUGUUAUUCUUCAACGUUGGAUUUAAGAUGAGCAGAUAUCGGUUCAGUGGACUAAUAUUCACAGUGGGUAUCCUGAGUCUGAUACCGAUCGGAAUGAAUGGGAUGACGUUCGAAGACUACCACAUGUACACCAUCCGUCCGGAAACCCUUGGGCAGUUGAAAAUAUUACACAAAGUAAAAGAAACUGCUGGGUUCGACUUUUGGGAUGUUCCGAAGAUGCACCGUGCGUCCAGAGUAAUGGUCAAGAGAAUUGACGCCAGAGUGUUCGAGAAGUUUCUGAAACGUUAUGGAAUUUAUUAUGAACAGGCUGAGAAAAACGUUCAACAGAUAUUGGAUCAAGAGAAACUCAAGAUUAGGCAGAGAAGAUAUAAACGAUCCAUCGGUCUGGACUAUACCGUAACUUUCAAACACUACUGGAGUCUGGAAGAAAUCUACGAAUACAUUGAAUAUUUGGGGUCAUUUCAUCCUAUGGUUAAUAGUAUAACUAUUGGAAAUACUCAUGAACAACGAUCAAUCAAAGCUGUCACUAUAUCGUUGGAUGGACAAAUCACGAUGAAACGUCCUGUGGUGUUCAUAGAUGCCGGCAUCCACGCGCGCGAAUGGGCUGGAAUCAUGGCUGUUAUGUACAUGAUCCAUGAAUUCGCCGAAAACACAAGAUGGUACGGUGAACAGCUUAACAACACGGACUACGUCAUCAUUCCCGUGCUGAAUCCGGAUGGUUUCGUGUACUCACGUGAGGUGAAUCGUUUGUGGAGGAAGAAUCGGGUACGGCUACACAGCGAAUGCGUAGGUGUUGAUUUGAAUCGUAACUUUCCUUACGCUUGGGUGAACAGCGGUACUAUGUGCAAGCCUUAUUUCGCUGGUUCACGACCGGGUUCCGAGCUGGAAACACGUGCUAUGAUGAACUUGAUGGAGCGCUUUAAAGCCGCUGUAAAGUUGUACAUAGCGGUGCACACCCACGGGGAGAUGAUCUUGUGGCCAUGGGGAUACAAAGUGGUCCGUUGCGAUAACUGGCGCGAACAUGACCAUUACGCGAAGAUGGCCAGCAAUGCGAUCAAGACAGCUGGUGGCAAACAGUGGAGGGUGGGGAACUCAGCGGAACUCAUGUACAUAGCCAGUGGAGCUUCCGAUGAUUAUGCUCACGCCAACGGAGUUCGGCUGGCAUAUACAAUCGAACUCACCGGAGGUGGCCAGUAUGGAUUCGAUUUGCCCGAGGAAGAACUGGGCAAAGCUCUCGCGCAAACCAUGCAGAUUUUCAAGGUGUUCGGAAAGGUCGCGGGAAGGUCGCUUAAUUCAACUUUUCCAUAAGUACUUUUGGUUCAUUUUUUUAGCUAGUAUAGCAUUACUUAAAAAUUUCUCUAUUCGUCUUUAAUUCGUAGAACAUUUAGCAUAGGGAGUAUAGAUUGCAUUUGAUGUAUGCAACAGGAUUGAAACUGUCACAGAUAUAAAGCAUGCGUUAAAUAAUUCUUUAAAAAAUAUAGUACACAAAUGCAUCGCGUCCAAUAUUUUCUUAUAUAAAUAUAAUCAUCGAUUAUUUUACAUAUGCCUAUGUUCCGGAACAACACCGCUUUCAAUGUUUUUCGAAUCUGUUCAAAGGAUCACGGACUAGAACAGAACGAAAACUCUUACGCCUAUAUGGCAACUGUGUAAAUGUGUACCAUAUGCAAUCGUAUAGAAGGGAAUAC